AGCGAACGUUAGCGGCGGGCUUAACACAUGCAAGUCGAGCGAGAAAGUGGCUUCGGCCAUCAGUAAAGCGGCGGACGGGUGAGUAACACGUAGGUAAUCUUCCCUUGAGCGGGGGACAACGUUUCGAAAGGAACGCUAAUACCGCAUAAGUUCCUGAGGGCUUUGGCCGUUGGGAGGAAAGCUAGGCAGCAAUGUCCGGCACUCGAGGAGGAGCCUGCGUCGCAUCAGCUAGUUGGUGGGUAAUGGCCCACCAAGGCGAAGACGCGUAGCUGGUCUGAGAGGAUGAUCAGCCACACUGGGACUGAGACACGGCCCAGACUCCUACGGGAGGCAGCAGUGGGGAAUAUUGGACAAUGGGCGCAAGCCUGAUCCAGCCACGCCGCGU
rnacentral:rRNA from 1 species